rnacentral:misc_RNA from 1 species
AACUCCGGAGAGCAGAUCGAGGUGCUCUAGUACAAUCUCUAACAAAGUGUCCAUGUUCACCACAAUUGUAGCAGGCUCUAGUGGCCUUACGAUACAUACCCCUAUGUAACUUGCCACAUACCUCACACACACGGGUAGGGUAGGAACUUCUGAUUCUGUGCCGAUGAGUUCUCAACUGCUGUUGCCUUGAAGAUCCGCCUCUGUCAGAUCCAUAACCACUAGGCUCUCCAGUAUUCUUCCUUUUUCCCAAAUUACUAUUAGAACUUUGACCAGUUCGUUCCCCACUUUUUCCUUUUUCAUGUAGCUCUUACGAGGGUUGGGUUUGUGCUUGGGCUUGGGCUGACAAAUGAUCAGCCAUUUGUUGAAAGAAAGU